AUGUAGCCCGCCACGCCAAGAAGAGACGGCAAAGACGCCUGCGCCUUCCGGCCCUCCCUCCCCACUCCAACCCCGGCGUUCGCCUAGCCCUCCGAUUGGCUGCUCCUCGCACCAGCCGAGCCUCAGGGCUGCGGCCCACGUGGUCCACUGGCCGUCGCGGGAUUGGUUGUCGGGAUCGGGCUGCCGCGGCAGCCGGCGGGGUAGCGAGGUGGAGCAGUGUGGGAAGCCCCAAGCCCGUACCUCUGGGACUGAACGGCGGCGGGUGGGCUGCGGUCAGCCUCUGCAGGCCUGGGCAGGCCUCCUGAGAGUCUAGGGCGUAAGAGUUUUGGGGGGUUCGGAAAGCGGGCUGCGGACCCCCUGCCUGAGGCUUUGGUUUGAGCCCUGGAUCCGGCCUUGUGUUUCCUCGGAAGGAUGGCGUCUCAGUCUUUCCUGAAGUUGGUGGGGUUUGGAUGUUAUUAUUAUUAUUAUCAGCAGUAGUAUUGUUAUUGUUGUUAUUAUUAUCGUUUUGAGGAUACACCGUGUAUAAGUAUUGGUGGUCUUGCGCAGGACGCCAUGCAGAAUGCCAUGAGUUAGAAGCUGGAGGACGGAGGGCUUAGAGAUGCUUGAGGGACGUCCUUAACCUAUGUGAAAUAUUGGAGGUUGAGGUGAAAAAUAUGGCUUUGAUGUCUUCAUGGAAAACUGCAUUAUUUCAGUCCUGAAUCUGGUUCGGUUCCCUUAUUGACUUAUUACUAUAUUAAAAAUGUUUAUUUAGCAGUGAUUGUAAAAUGAAAGUAAUUAACAUGUACAUGUUUUUUGGGGGGGAGACUAAGGGGAAACAGGUGUUCAGCCUAGAAAAACAUUUCUCAUUGGAUUUCCUGUGAAGUCAGUGUGUCUUGGGUUUAACUUUGAAACAAAUUAAAAAAUUUUUAAAUUAAAAAAAAAGUUUACUUAACUAUGCUAUUUGUUCUGGUAAAACCUUGUGGUUUAAUAAGAAUUUUUGCAAAUAUCCAUUAUAUUCUUCUCUUGGUACAUAAAAGUGUUAAUAUUUUAAAAUCUAUAGGACAUUCUAUUUCAAAAUUUAGUUCUAUUAUCUUAGUGCUGUCAGAAAAUGUGCUUUGAAUUGCUAAAAUGAGUUGUAUUGGACAACACCUGUCUCAGCAGAGGCACUUAAAAAUCAUUUUCAUCCUU